UGCCUCCUCUGUGCAAAAGGCAGCCCAGGGCUCCAUGCUGGGUUAUGUCAGCAGGCUGAGGAGGCAGAUCAGAGCAGCGGUGUUACCCAUUCCAUCCUGAGCUGCAACGUGGCUCUGCGGUGGAAGAGAUCCCUGCAACAAAC
rnacentral:snoRNA from 1 species